CGGCGCAAGGGUUAAGCGCCGGAGAAGGGCCGCUCGUGACUUCCGUGCUCUUCCAUCUGGUGGGAACCCUGAAACCCAUUUGUAAAUUAAUUUUUUACUUGGAAUGCGCGCUGCCGCAUCCAGUCAUCCCUGGAUCCCGCACAGACAGCUUGCGCUGCUGCCUCCACAUGUCUCCAGCGACGGGCUCGGCUCCGACUGAUUGGAGAUGCAGGAGAAUGGGAUCAUUAAAGAUGCUUUGGGAUGCACCACUCCCUCCCAGUGCCAGUUAAAAUGUGCCUCUGGCAGCGGCGCUUCCCCGGUGACAUUUUCCAGUGCCUCAGGAAAACAACGGUGCCGACUGGCACACUGCAGCGAGUGGCCGGCAGCACCACACCAUCCCAACGGCUCUUAUUCCCAGGAAACAUGGGCAAAAUUAUCAAUUCAUAGGUUGGAAACACUUAUCCCAAAUAAUAGCCCCGUUUACAACCCGCCUCUACUUUUGACGUGCUGAGCGCCUCAAAUAGCAACAAUAAAGCCUCUGUCUUCUUUCAA